rnacentral:rRNA from 1 species
AUUGAACGCUGGCGGCAGGCCUAACACAUGCAAGUCGAGCGGAUGAAGGGAGCUUGCUCCUGGAUUCAGCGGCGGACGGGUGAGUAAUGCCUAGGAAUCUGCCUGGUAGUGGGGGAUAACGUCCGGAAACGGGCGCUAAUACCGCAUACGUCCUGAGGGAGAAAGUGGGGGAUCUUCGGAACUCACGCUAGCAGAGGAGCCGAGGUCGGAUUAGCUAGUUGGUGGGGUAAAGGCCUACCAAGGCGACGAUCCGUAACUGGUCUGAGAGGAUGAUCAGUCACCCUGGAACUUAGACAGCGUCCAGACGACUAAGAGACGGCGCAGUGGGGAAUAUUGGACAAUGGGCGGAAACCUGGUACAGCGAUGCCGAGUGUGUUAAAAAAGUCCUCCGAUUGUAAAGAACUUUAAGUUGGGAGGAAGGGCAGUAAGUUAAUACCUUGCUGUUUUGACGUUAACAACAGAAUAAGCACCGGCUAACUUCGUG